GAGCAAGCGCAGGAGCUGCUGCCUCGCACAGGAGCAAAUUACCGCGUUCAGCUCAUCUGCAGUAACUUGCUCCUGUGAGAGGUAGCGGCUCCUGGCUCCUC
rnacentral:miRNA from 12 species